CUCCCCCACUAUGCACCCCGACAAAGAAACCGCCCCCAAAACCGUGGGUCUGGAUCCGCCCCCCUGUGGUCGACGCACCGCGAUACCGCAAACUUAAGGCUCCGCGAAUAAUUGCCUGAUCCUGGCUUCUCAAAAAUUUGCCAAUUAUUGAGCCCGUAAAUUUAACCAAUUACAGUCAAACUCCUUUAUAGCGAACACCUUUUUAACGAAAAUACCACUACAGCAAAUUUUUUUUGCGGUCCGCUGGAGCCCUAUAGGUCCAGUAAUGGACAUCCUUUUUAACGAAAAUACCUUAACUGCAAAUUUGUUUUGCUGUCCCCCGAGUUUCGUUGUAAAGGAGUUUGACUGUGUACAGUAUAUGCGGAUAAGCUUUAAUUAGGGAGUGACUUUUUCGGAAUAAGUGCCUUUCUCAGGUUCGGGGAUGGGGGUAAAAAUCAUGCGCUAUUUUUAGAUCUGUAAUUCGGGGAGAAAUCGGGCGAUAAUUGUGCCUUCGGGUGUUAUCGGGUGUUCUUGUUUCUCCUCUCGUUUAUUAAGUCAUUUCCUAAUCUCUCUUUUUCUUUAGCUUUUUUGCGGGAUCAUGACCUUCCAGCGGUAACCCCCAAGGCAUAGACAGUGUUGACACACAUGGGUGUAUUUAGGCAUGGAUCUAGGGGGUGGGGGAGUCCGGACCCCCCCCCUCAAUUUCCGACUUGGACAUAGGGUUCAAUGGACCAGUCCCAGCAUGCACAUUGCACUUUUCCAUAGCGCACCCCCUCCUCUUGGGAAAAUACUAGAUCCGCCACUGAGUGUACUGCUGAGAACGAGGAAUGGCUGGGACGUAUCGCAUUAAAGAAGAACCUCGAGAGGAAUCUUCAAAUGAACAUCCAAUCCUGGAAGUCAAAACGGAGCCUUACAACACCAUGGUAUUGUCAGGGCAGGACGAAAUAGGAUACCACCAUCACUCGACAUCAGAAGUAGCGAAGACUGGAAGGCAACUUUCUCCGCACCGACGCACGACAGUCCAUGACGUCAAAAAUGUGUUUGAAAUAAACUCGCAUUCGCUCUGCA